UACACUCACAUACAAGCGAGCGCCGUCCGCUCCGUUGUCUUUUUUAGGAGACAUAGACAGAUGAAAAGAGCGUUAAAUGUGUGAAGCCGCCAACUGAGAAAUGAAAUCUUUACCACUGUCCAAACACGAAAUGCUUCCACCAUCACACCAAUAACAUCACUGGCACCUCUGACAUUUAUUUCUGUAAUUCAUUGCUUGUUUUCAUUUUUUUUUUCAUUUUUGCUUGUGCCUCUAAGUGCCUUUUUCUAACAUGGCGGCAGCGAGCAGGCAUCAGCCACACCGGAGCGCGGCCAUCCACGGUGCUAUCAUCUCUCCUCCUCGGCCCAAUCGAGAUAGCUCGAGUUGCACGCUGGGAAGAUUUUAAGCGGGAGCGGGAGGCUCGGAGCCGGCGGGAGUGGUUAGCGCGCUGUCGUCCUGUCGUUGUUGUCGUUCUGAGACGGCCAUUAUAUUUGACUUGUUUGGAUACCAUCCGAUCACCAUUGUGUGCUGCCACCACUUGUAGCCUGCAGUAGUUAUUACCGCUUCUACUGGGAACUUGCGCCAUCCGCUGCACCCUCAUGCCUUUGUGCAGCAGAGACCUUUUCGGUGUGUUGCGCGGUCGCUGCAACGAGCCGGGUUGUGAGUGCAAGCGAUACACCAUUCUGCGCCUGUCGGAAAGUGACAACCUGGUGAGGUGUGACUAUUGUGACCACGUCCCAAAUGCACACGGAAAAAUAUGUGAUCUCGAAACGAAAAAUGCAGCCGAGGCAAAGGUGCAAUGCAAUGUGCCAGGCACCGCUGUUCGAGGCCUCAGUGUCACAUGAAACUGUGGAAGCUUGCACAUCUAGUCUCCUCAGUGCAAUAUGAGAGGACUGUCCCAGUUGGUGCCUCCAUAGAAAAUGAAUCGGCCUGAAUGCCUGUGCAAGAAUCACAACCUGGCUGCUCUAAAGACUCCGCACCGUAGUCCCAUGUGCAAGAGCCCCCACUUGACAGCCCAGUGGUUGCCAUGGACAAAGAGAUCCGCGAUACUGAAUGCGGCCAAGCAGUACAAGUUUUUACAUGGACAGUUAACACGAAGUUAUUGACGACAUGCAUGGCUGAAACACGGUGAUAUGAUUUUAAAAAUUCCUGUGUUAUGAUGCAAGUGAUAGUAUUCUGUUGAAUUUUCAGAUCUAGUCAUGUGCCAGCAAGGCCUGCUGUACUUCUGGUGUAUUCUAUGUUGUAUUUUCAAAUAAAGAUGUUGCAUUCUGAAGUUAACCUUA